rnacentral:tRNA from 1 species
GCGGGGGUAGCCAAGCUUGGCCAACCUUCUUUGACUUCUAAAAACACACGGGUCCUCAUGAAGGGCUAAAGGCGCAGGGCUCAGAACCCUGUCGUGUAGGCGUUCCUGGGUUCAAAUCCCAGCCCCCGCACCA